rnacentral:rRNA from 1 species
UGGGGAAUAUUGCACAAUGGGCGCAAGCCUGAUGCAGCCAUGCCGCGUGUGUGAAGAAGGCCUUCGGGUUGUAAAGCACUUUCAGCGAGGAGGAAGGGUAGUGUGUUAAUAGCACAUUGCAUUGACGUUACUCGCAGAAGAAGCACCGGCUAACUCCGUGCCAGCAGCCGCGGUAAUACGGAGGGUGCAAGCGUUAAUCGGAAUUAAUGGGCGUAAAGCGCACGCAGGCGGUUUGUUAAGUCAGAUGUGAAAUCCCCGCGCUGAACGUGGGAACUGCAUUUGAAACUGGCAAGCUAGAGUCUUGUAGAGGGGGGUAGAAUUCCAGGUGUAGCGGUGAAAUGCGUAGAGA